AUGGACUGUGUGGAUGUGGCAGGGGCCGAUCUUGGCACUGGCAGCAGGGCACCCCAGCUCAUACUGCCUCUUGUGGUUAGGUUUUCUCUUGCCCCCGGUCUUGUGGUGCUUGUGCCAGCUGUCCCGAGAGGUGCCAGCUGUCCCGAGAGAUGCCAUUCGCUCAGCGCUGGCUGGAAAGACCCACCUGUCUUAAUCUUAAUAAAUGUAUUUAAGCCUUCGCUGGGUCUUACCAAAUUAGGCACAUAGAGUUUGUUGAGGCCACAGACUCACAGGAAUUUCAAAUUUUUCCUUACCAUUUCCUCUGUCACCUAGAUUGCUUAGUGUAUUGUUAGUCUCCAGAUGUGUAAGAUAUUAUACAAUUUAUUUUGAAUUUUAUCACAUUAUCCUAUGAUGUUGACUUUGGGAUUUACUGAGACUUCCUCUGUGGACUGAUACAGGCAGUAUUCCUGUAAGUUCCCUGUGUUGAAAAGAAUUUGCCUGUUGGCUCUAGUGCUCUCUCUGAGCCCAGGUAGAGAGCUGUGGCGUUCCAGUCUUCUAGUUCUUUGCUUUUUCACCCACCUGACCUGUUCAUUUCUGAGAGGGGUGCAUUCAAAUUUCAAACCACACUUUUUGGUAUUUUGUGAACCAUCAUACGUACACACACACACACACAGUUAUAUAUUAUACAUAUACUACAUGGUGCGUGUUUUGUAAUUUUAUAUAUUGUUAGGUUUUCCCUUUGCUCACGGCCCUUAACUCUUUUUGAUUAGUGUGUUUUGGUCAUUGACAUUUAUUUUAACUACUGGUAUAUUAGGGCUUAUUUAUGCUUUUAUUUCAUUUUUCCUAUAUUUACCAUAUUUUCUGAUAAGAACAGACUUGAUCUGUUCUUGAUCUGUUACUUGAUCUUCACCAAAAAGCAAGGAUGAUAUUUUCUUUUUCUCCCCUUUUCCUGACUGAAUUUCCUUCUGGCCCAAGGAAUGAUUUUUAUUUUUGUCUAUCAAUUUUAACAACUUUAAAAAAUGUUAGGCAUCCAUCCCACAAACCCAGGUGCGUCCCUAAUAUCCUCUCACAUUCCUCUGGUCUCUCUCCCUGUUUCGUCUCCACCUCCAUCAGCAGAGUUGGUAUCAUUCUUGGAGCUUUAUGAAGUCUCGUGGUCCAGAAAAA
rnacentral:lncRNA from 1 species